rnacentral:sRNA from 12 species
CAGUGGGCUGAAGCCCACUGCUAUUAUAUUCCGCCGCUGCGCGGCU